UCCCAAGUGGCUCAGUGAUAAAGAACCUGCCUGCUAAUGCAGGAUCUCCUGCAGGAGAUGUGGGUUUGAUCCCCGUGUUGGGAA
rnacentral:tRNA from 1 species